AGGUACCAAGACGUGGAUGACUAUAUCAAAGUGAAUCAUACCUCUAAAUGGGAAGAGAAGCGCUGUGACUUGGAGAGUCUGAUUGCAGUCAAAGAUAACAGCAAGGAGGGAAACCAAGAUCUGGAUGACUUCAUCAUAGUGAAUUGUACAUUUGAGCCAAGUGA